GCUCACCCUAGCUGAAUUUACCAUCACCACCACUUAAACAUCACUAACUCAUUCAUACUCAAGCUCCAUUCAAGCCUUGAAGGCGAUCUAUGAAGGUUGCAAGUUGAGAAGCAUUCAAGGAAGCUUUGUUCUAAUCUUGUCAUCAUCUUUUCUCACCAUCAUCUUCACUAAGAUUCUUCCCUAGCUUGAAGCUAGUAGUAAGUCUCUACACCUCGUCCCAUCUUAUUCUUGGUUAUGUCAUUCGUGUUUGCUGAGGAGAUUUGGGUUACGAGUACCGAAGACGCAAUACAGUGA
rnacentral:lncRNA from 1 species